rnacentral:lncRNA from 1 species
UGCAAUUUUGACCAAAAUUCAACCGACGACUUCUUUCAAAAUAUAUAUUUAUAUUUAUUCCGCUCCUAAAUCAACUGACGUCACUUUCCAGAAUUUGGAAGGUAAAUUCUGAUUGGUCGACGUGGCGGAAUUCAGUUUGGCGCUCGGGUAAGCAGACGGUAGUAUUUCGUCGCUUGGCGUAAGAACUACAACGUCUGUGAGCAGGCUACGCGAUGGGCAUCGAAGUAUCGAACCGACACGGGUUCAAUUCCCAGCGCGCGGCAAGCAGUUUUUCAGCUCGCCCAAUGUGGAGCCACUUAAAGAGCGUCAUCUACACUAAUUUGCCUGAGUUCAAAACAUCAUAAUCAUUUAAAUCUAUUUAAUUAUACACGAGAGAAAACAGUUAACUCAAACGAUAAGUGCGUUAACUUUCAUCUUGCUGCUGAGUCAUGCAAGCACAAAAAUCGAUGGUGUGUUAGGCUAUAAAACUGUUCAUAAUCAACUGCAUGCACUAACUUUCUUAUAUUGAGAAUAUAUUGAUAUCGAAGGAACGAGACUCAGUGCCGAAAUAUCAAAUUGGUAAUUCCAGCUUUUAGUUUAUGCGUGCAGGGGACGAUGGGAAGUAAGGUAUCACAUUGCUGAUUAUGCUGAAAAAAUAAAAAUGGUGGCCGUGUAAACACGGAGUGAUAGCUUAUACUUGUAAAUAUUGAAAUAUUUCGGUUGUUUUUAUUGAAAUUUUUCAGCAUAAUCAGCAUUAUCACAUACUUGUACCUUUAUCAGGUAGGAAGCAGCGGGACAUAAAAACGAUAUCGUCCCGGAUAUCGUUUUUUGUCCCGCUAAAUUUCGCGCCUUGUCAAAACAAAGAUGGCCGACUCGAGGUUCGUGUUGGUUGAUGUCGACAGUUUAUCGAAGGAAACAAGAACGAUAAUACAAAACGAAAGACUUAAAUUGUAUAUUAUUUAUAUGAGUGGUCUAUUUAUUUUCGAAAAUCAUAUUUGUUCAGUAAAUGAUGAAUUGUUUUGAAUUCUAAAAUGAUCCUAUUUUUUCAAAACUGUUUACUUUUGGGUGUCAAACCCUGAUAAAGGUACAAGUAUAUAAUAAAUAGGUUAUCGUACUCGGGAUUCGGUGAUAUCAGUUUUAUCGCUCUCGGGACGAUAUCACAAUUGUCCCUCGCUCGCUGCACUCGCUCGUGACAAUUGUGAUAUCAUCCCUCGAGCGAUAAAACUGAUAUCACCUCAUCCCUUAUAUGAUAACCUAUAUAUAUGAUACCUUACUUCCCAUCGUCCCCUGCAGGCAUAAACUAAAAGCUGGAAUUACCUAUUCGAACCAACUUGAACUCGUAGCUCAGUUGGUAGAGCCAUCAUUGGAUGACUAGUAUCCCAAAGGUCGCGAGUUUGAUGGCAUUAUCAGACUUGUAGCAAAGUUGUUCUAACAAGUCUGAUACAAUCAUGAUAUAAGCUAGGGGCGGACCAUUAGAAAAUUUUUCAACUUGUACGAAUAUUUUUUUUUAAUUUUUUGCUUGUGUCGAUAAUUUUUUUUAAUAUAAUCCCUCUUAUAUUUUUUUUUAUUUCAACUUAUAAUUUUCCCUAUAGUCUCUGAAUGAAUUUUUUUCAAACAUUUUUGGUGCACGAAUUUUUUUUCUUUCUGUUUCCCCCUGCUCGAUUUUUAUUUUUGCUUUCCCCCCACCCCCAUCACUUUUCUAAUGGUCCGCCCCUAACAAAGAAUGUUACAAAGUUGAUGACACAAAGUUGUAACAAUAUUGUUAUAUCAUGACUGUAUCGGACUUGUUGGAACAACCUCUUGCAACAAGCCUGAUAAUAUCAACAAGGUUGUUACAAGUUGUUAAUUGUUUGUUCCAAACUUGUUGACAACUUGGGACAAGCAGUACGAACACAACUUGUUGACAAACAUAGUACAAGAUGUGAGACUUUCGCGUGGGUAGUUCCAUUCACUGCAGUCAGCAGGAUAUUGUAAGAUAAAUCAUGCAAAGCGGGGUAAAAAAGGUCAAAAGUCGACAAUCAAGAUGAAUAUACAUAUACAUAUACAUAUACAUAUACACAGAAUUCCUUUAAAAGUUAAAAAUUGUUGAAGAAUAUACUUAAUGGUCAGAUUGGGAUUGAACUCGUCGACAUAUUUUCAUGCUUUUAAUAACUUUCAUUCCCUCGAUGCGUAAAAUCUUGUCUUUCCAGUAAAAGAUUAAACAGUUAAAUGUUGAAUUCAUACAGGAUAUGGUUUUACCCCAGAGUGCGGCGAUAUUUGCAUUAUCCAAUGUCAAUGCAUCUUUCGAGGUUAUCUUUAGUCUAAUAUAAACGAACGCUGGAAUAAAUAGCACCACAAAACAAGCGACUGACAGCAAGCAACAGGAUAUACUGUUCAAAGAAAACGAAUUUUUCAUCUCGGGUGAUACUCUGUUAUUUCUACGACUUUUCCUGGCGACUGCGAACAAUUUGUAGUUGAUGAACAACAUCGGAGGAAAGAUAAUGAUAAUAAAUAUUAGAAGACCAACUUCAAAGGGAAUAACAAAGUCGUUUACAGACAUCAGUCCUAAAAUAACUUCGAAAAUAAUCAGUAUUGCAAGAAGAGUUGAUUGUUUUUCCUUCGUUACCGAUGCUCGAUGAAAGAGAGGAUAAGAUGUCGCCAAAUAUCGAUCAAAAC